AGAGAACACUCCUGAGGUGCUUUCAGAUUUUCUCGCACGAUUCAAAAAGAUGAAAACAAUGAAGCUCCUUGUUCAUCAAAGAGGAACACAGGAUUGUUGAAGUAUUUCUGAUUUCAGAUCAAAAUGCAGUUUUACUAAAGAGUCCAGGAAGCAGGCUGACGUUAUUUGUUGUCAUUUCAAUGUCAAAAUGUUGCCAGACGUUAUUUUAACGUUAAAGUGAUAUAUAACCCCAACUUGUUGCCUGGGAGGAGUUUAUGACUAAGACAGUGGACUUGGAUAAAUAUUAAUUUCUUUGACAUACAUGUAUACAUAUGUGUGUAUAUGUAUGUAUGUAUGAUGUGUAUUAUAUAUAUAUAUAUAUAUAUAUAUAUAUAUAUAUAUAUAUAUAUAUAAUACACAUCAUACAUACGUAGAUAUAUAUAUAUCUACGAUUAUUAUAUCGAAUGGAUCCUACAGUUCUCGUCUCAAGACAUAGCUCCAAUUCAAGUUCAAUAUGAAUGAGGAUUGAAGUUGGGAUGAGGAUUAGAGUUGGGCAUUUAUGCAUAAAAUUUUAUCUAUUCAUGAUGAAUCUAACUAAACAGAAUCAUUUGAGGAGAGAACAUUUUAUCAAUUGAAAUUGAAGUGAUAAUUAAAAGGGGCAAUGGUUUAUUAAUCAACUUCAGGGACUUCACGUUCAUAUAUUUAAAUAAAGUUUAUUUUGAAGCAUUUUGCACAACACUGCUCUACACAUCUGCUUAUGUAAGUAAA